rnacentral:rRNA from 1 species
UAAUACGUAGGACCCGAGCGUUGUCCGGAAUUACUGGGUAUAAAGGGUGCGCAGGCGGCCGUGUGCGUCAGAGGUGAAAUCUCCGGGCUUAACCCGGAGGGUGCCUUUGAUACGGCAUGGCUUGAGUCCGAGAGAGGGUGAUGGAAUUCCUGGUGUAGCAGUGAAAUGCGUAGAUAUCAGGAGGAACACCGGUGGCGAAGGCGGUCACCUGGCUCGGCACUGACGCUUAGGCACGAAAGCGUGGGGAUCAAACAGGAUUAGAUACCCUGGUAGUCCACGCCCUAAACGAUGUAUGCUUGGUGUUGGAUCAGCAAUGAUUCAGUGCCGAAGGGAAUCUGUUAAGCAUACCACCUGGGGAGUACGAUCGCAAGGUUGAAACUCAAAUGAAUUGACGG